GAUGAAGAACGUAGCGAAAUGCGAUAAGUAAUGCGAAUUGCAGAAUUUCCGUGAGUCAUCGAAUCUUUGAACGCACAUUGCGCCCUCUGGUAUUCCGGGGGGCAUGCCUGUCCGAGCGUCAUUGCAAACCCUCAAGCCCGGCUUGCGCGAUGGGUCGCAUCGUCCCCGAAGGCCCUCCGGGGCGGGUGGGACGGGCCCGAAAGGCAGCGGCGGCGUCGCGGUCAUCCGAUCAGCCCAAGCGUAUGGGGACAUCCGUCACACGCUAGGGGCGCGGACCGACGCCCGCCUGGAACGUCACACUUCUCAAGGUUUGACCUCGGAUCAGGUAGGGAUACCCGCUGAACUUAAGCAUAUCAAUAAGCGGAGGA
rnacentral:misc_RNA from 1 species